UACGGAGGGUGCGAGCGUUAAUCGGAAUUACUGGGCGUAAAGGGUGCGUAGGUGGUUGGAUAAGUUAUCUGUGAAAUCCCUGGGCUUAACCUGGGCAGGUCAGAUAAGACUGUUUGACUCGAGUAUGGGGGAGGGUAGUGGAAUUUCCGGUGUAGCGGUGAAAUGCGUAGAGAUCGGAAGGAACACCAGUGGCGAAGGCGGCUACCUGCCUAAUACGUGACACUGAGGCACGAAAGCGUGGGGAGCAACAGG
rnacentral:rRNA from 1 species